rnacentral:misc_RNA from 1 species
GGAAAUUUAUAUAAACAAAUUCCAAUCAGAUGCUGCAUCAUGGGAUGGAAAUAGCUUCAUUUCUCCAUGGCUUCUACAAUUUCCUUAGAAAUUUAAUCAGACUCCUUGAAAUAAAGUUUCUGAUUUAAAUAACCUUACUCUGCUGGGAACAACUUGCUCCCAUUUCCUGUUUCUCACCAUAUUCUGCAUAUUAGAAAGAUAAUCUUUUGACAAUCAAUGAUUGGCUGAGUAAAUUUGCCAACCAAGAGCAUUCAUAAUUGUAGUCCUUAUCAAGAUUUGCAACUUCCCAACCAAAUAAAAUGAUUGGCUUUUGCUCAAAAU